AAAGGGAGACCUAAUUCGGGUAUAAGACGAAAAAAUAGUAGUCGAAACCAAGAAUCAAUCCCAAAAGGUCGGAACGAGGUAUGUGGCUUUCAAACUAGGUUCUGGGUUCAUAAAAGACCUGAAUCAGGAACAAGGGCUAUUAGCUCAGGUGGUUAGAGCGCACCCCUGAUAAGGGUGAGGUCCCUGGUUCGAGUCCAGGAUGGCCCACCUGCACAGGUGGCAAAGACAAAGAAAAGAAGCGAGGAAUCAGCACCUUAUCUUACUUAUAUAGUAAGAGAGAAUGCUGGCUCUGAGUACAGAGUCCAGAGGAACCUUGAAAACUGCAUAGAGCUAGGUGAAAAAGCCAAAAAAGAAGACCGCAAG
rnacentral:tRNA from 1 species